rnacentral:lncRNA from 1 species
AGAAUCUUAAAUGCAACUGAAACAAAAAAUCACCUUCUCCUAAAACUGACUAAUCUAACACCUGAAUUUCUAUCAGUAAUCAAAACAAACAAGCAAAAGAAAACAAAACAAAAAUCUGCUAGUCAGAUAAAGACUUACAUAGUAUAUACUCUCAAAACGAGGAUAACUCCUAAAUUAAUUAGGUUUCUACUUAUUACAAGUGAGGGAAGUCAAUUUUUCAGUAGAAAAUUUAUUUACUUAUAAAACUAGAGAGCACAUGUGUGGAGGUUAAUUCAGAAAUAAACACAGAUUUCAAUAAUUAAUUUGGAUAUUUAUUUACCGCCAUUUCUCCAUUUCUCAAUUGUUUGUAUUUGUUGGUUACAACUUUUUGUACUGCUGACAUGAAGGAGAUGAACUAUGCUGAAAUGUGUACUGAUUUGACAUCUGGUAUUAAAAUUUUAAAAGUAGAGAAAACAUUUUCAUGUCGAUUUUACCACAUAAAGUAUGGAAUUUUUAAAUGCAUCCUACCAGGAACUUAUAAAAAUCAAUGUUUUACUAAUUGCAUCUAUACUUGUCUUAUGCCUCUUAAAAAUUAAAUAUUUUUAUUACUGCCUCAGACAAAAGUCAUGUACAAACUCUGGUAAAUCUGUUUGUAACAUCUCCUUUCUCUUAAAAUUUAAUAGAGUUAUGGUAUUUUCCAAUGUAUGUCUAAUAACAAUUUAUAAAACUUUGGUAUAGUUGUACAAUAUUAUUACUACCAUUGAUAUUUUUAAAGCUAAUCUUUAUUUUGUACUUACUAUGCGCCAGCUACUGUACCAAGCACUUUACAGCCACUGUCAGCUCUUUUAUUCCUUAUAACACUUUUAGGUAGACAUUAUUAUGCCCAUUUUACCUAUGGGGGAAAACAGGACUUACAGAGUUUAAAUAAUUUGCCUAAGUAUACACAUCUGGGAAAAGGCACAACUAGCAUUUAAAGCUAUAUAGUAUAUUUCUAGAGCUAUAAUUUUGCUCCAAUGCACACACUUACUUUUCCUUGCACAAAAUCUCCUUAUUAAAAUAAGAACAGCAACAAAUAACAAUAAAAUUUAGUAAAUAAUCUAAACAAUAUUUUUUAUUUUUAUUUUUUUAGGGCUGAACCUGUAGCAUAUGCAAGUUUCCAGGCUAGGGUUCAAAUUGGAGCUGCGCCUGCUGGCAUAUACCACAGCUACAGCAAUGCCCAGAUCUGAGCUGCAUUGGCGACCUACACCACAACUCAUGGUAACACGAGAACCUUAACCCACUGAGCAGGGUCAGAGAUCAAACCUAUGUCUUUGUGGAUACUAGUUGGGUUUGUUGCCACUGAAUCAUAACAGAAACUCCAAUAUAAUCUAAACUUUAAAUAAUAUUUUCCAUUUUAAUCUGGUGACAAAUGUCAGUACAGAGGAAAUAAAUCAAAAUAUUUUCAUCAAAUGAUAGAGUCUUCCAGCAUACGGAACUCAAACUGUGGUGAUGAGAAUGUUCUCCUCUGAUCAAUGUGAUAGCCAGUAGCCACCAGUGGCAACUGAAAGUUUGAAAUGUGGUUAGUGUGACUGAAGGACUACAUUUUAAAUUUUUAUUUAACUUGGAUUAAAUUUAAACAUUAUAGGUACAUGAAGCUGGUUUUUUAACAUAUAUAACAGUGUAGCCUUCAGUGAUCUUAUCCAGCCCAAAUGAUGGCUGCCAAGGACAAUCCUUGGAAUUUCUUGAUCACAUAUCCAAUGAUUCGCCAGGUAUUUCGACAUGGAUGUCUAAAAAGGAUCUCUGUUUAAUGUGUCCAAAUUUUUACUUUUUUUGAAAGUAAGUGGUUGCCUUCAUAGGUCCCAUCUUCCACAAAGCACACUUCUGUGUAGCUUUUAGCCCAGGAUGAUAACAUUGGAGUCAUUCUUGACUUAUCAAUAAAAAAUGCAUGGAGUCUUUAUUUUCAAAAAUCUGUGAGCUUUUUAGCAAAUGUGGAACUACACUCUAGUCCAAGCCACAUCCAUAUCCUGCCUAGACUAUAUAGUUAUUUUCAACUGGUCUCCCUCCUUCCCCUCUGACCACUACAGACUUACCAGUCUGUUUUCAGACCAGCUCUCUGCUCCACCUUCACAGGCUGAUUAUAAGUUCUGAGAAUUAACCCAAUAUGCUUCUCUGUGGAGCCUUGUCCAUUUGUCUGGAUUUAUCUCCACACAGAAAUUCUCAUAUAGACUUCUCACUUCACUUGGGUUUCUGCACUGUAUACUGGUAAGUGAAAGAAGCUGCUAAUCCUUUAUUUAUGUUUAUUUUUUAUUAAAGUUAGUUGAUUUACAAUGCCGUGCCAAUUUCUGCUGUAUAGAAAAGUGACUCAGUCAUACAUAUAUACAUACACACACAAUUUUUCUUAUAUUAUAGAGGCUGCUAGUCUCUAAAGAUUACAUUAUAUUAUUCUAACUACAUAACAUUCUGGAAAAGGCAAAACUAUUGUGAUGCUUAAAGAUCUGUGGUUGACAGGGGUUCAUGGGGAGGAAAAGGGACUGAAUAAGAGGAAAACCUGUUCAGGACAGUGACAUUC